GCUUUUGGCAUGAUGGUAAGCGCUUGAUCCUAACAAAUGGUAUCAGAUCCAAGGUCAUGAGUUCGAUUCUCAAGAGCAACA